CACACACACACACACAGCCUCCAUUAGGCGCAGAUACAGCACCCACUGCGGGCUCGCUUUAAUAACCAAACAGGAUUAUGGGCCCUGCCUGCGGACUACCUGCCAGGGAGUGCACUCUCAUAACACCAAGAAGCAUCUCCGUGUUUGUGGAUCCUACAGGCAUGAGGUGCAAUAUUCUCUGGUUCUCAAGUGCAAUAUCAUCUUGAAGCUCUUGAACUGAAACCCCAAGCCCUACAGGAAAGUUGAGGUGACAAUAGCCAUUGAGGGGGAAGCGGAUGACAUGAGUGGAAUCGUGGUUCCAGCCGGCAUUGACGGAGUUGCACAUGACG